ensembl:lncRNA
UAUAAAAAAAUGUUUUUUACUCUACUCAUUGUACCGGAUUACAAUCAAUCCUCUCCUUUUUUGGAAACUUAAACUGUGCUUAUAGAACUGUGAUGUUAUAUUUCUUACAAUUUCUGGUGCUCUCUUGACCAGAUCUCUCUUAAAAAAAAACCACAUUUUUAAUGUCAAUGAGAUUUUUUACCCAGUUACAUAAAUUACACAGAAGAGUCAUUUUGCCAACAAUUGAUUGCAGCUUCUACUUGGUGAUGGGAAUCUUACGUCUGGCUUAAAAUGACUUGAUAUCAGUCAUGAGAGAUAUGUUUGACCUAGGGUUGCCACUUUUAUAACUACCAAAUAAGGGACACUCUGGUAUGGCAGAAGCACAAUGCACAGACAGCUGGGCAUAGUGUAAAUAUAAAUGCAUGUUCAUAUUCUUAUAAUAAAAAUGCAGUACAAUGUUGGUUUCAGUUUAAUCAAUACCUCAUCUAAAGCAAUAUACAAAGCUGCAGUAAAUGAUGACAGAAAUCACAUGGGCAGUUCCUUCGACAAAUAAGGAAAAAAAAUAAAAAAAUAUUCAAAUACAAGCACUCGUCUGUUACAAUUGCGGCCAAAUCAGAUUUGGUAUUUGUAAGUGUGCCAUCUGUGGCAUUGCGGGCAAUGGCAAUAUACAGGACAUUUGAGGUAGAAUAAGGGGCGAACCAAUUUUGCUCAUUAUAUGGGAUGUCCCGAAUAAAACAGGACAACUGGAAUCCCUAGUUUUAUGUACUUUUGACUGAUUUUAGGUCAAAAAGUCAUUUUAACAGUUUAAAUUCCCACUAUCAUUUUAUUGCACAUCAAUGGCAGCACGGUGGUUAGCACUGUUGCCGCACAGCAAGAAGGUCCUGAGUUCAAUUCCACCAUCAGGCCGGGGUCUCUCUGUGUGGAGUUUGCAUGUUCUCCCCGUGUUUGCGUGGGUUCCCUCCGGGUACUCCGGCUUCCUCCCACCGUCCAAAGACAUGCAGUUUCAAAUUGCCCAAAGGUGUGAAUGUGUCUGUGUGUUGGCCCUGCGACAGACUGGUGACCUGUCCAGGGUGUACCCCGCCUCUCGCCCUAUGACAGCUGGGAUAGGCUCCAGUGCCCCCUGCGACCCUGAAAAGGACAACCAGAAGCAAAUGGAUGGAUGGAUACCAGAAAUCAGUUGUAUCAAGUUGUAUUUGUUGUUAUAAGUUUGUUUUUGGCGCGUUGCUUUAAAGACAGCUUUGCCAUCAUAAAAAAUAAAAAGUUAAAUAAGAAUGGAAAAAAUAAAGAAAAUAAGAAACUCAUGAAAACAAGUUUUUAAUUAAAAAAAACUAUAAAAAACAGUAUGCAGUAAGAUAAAGAUAAAGCAGAUCGGUCACUGGAGUGUUUUGUACAGAUAUAUAAGAACACAGAAACAUGCAGUGUAGUUUUUAAAAUUGAUGUCCUCUCCAUGGUCUCCACCCCUAGAGGUCACAAUACACCAGACAUCUCCUUGACAACAGGCGAAAAGCAGCUCCAUUCUCUCACAUCAUCACGCCAGCUCUCACAUCAUAAUUUCUCAUCUCUGCUGGCCGAUGUUUGAAUUCACGGCCUCCGCUCGUGAUUUAAAGCUGCAGUUAAACUGGUGCGGGGCUCUGUGACUGAUGAGACCACCAAAGGAAGAGGCUCUUUCCACACCUUGAUGUUUACCUUUCCUGUCAGCUUGUUUCCACAAAAGCUGGGAGUGCCCUGACUGUUUGGGUCAGAGGGACUGCAGCUGGAGGGAGGGCUUCAUUCUCACCUCAACACCUCCCACUUGGGUGGGGAUGAAGGAGAGAGGAGACACCGAACAGCUGUAGCUACCUGUCUCUGCUUUUCACACCAACACAUUCCUAUUUUACAGCACAGUCAAAUUACCAUUCAAUACACUUCAAAAAGCAACUCUAAAAGAACUGCAAAUUUUCCCUUACAUGGUCUAUUUAGCAGCACACCUGAGAUGAGAGUUUUGUCCGAUAAUACAUUGAGCUGAAGGUUUUCACAUUUAUGUAAAAUGCUGAAAAGCUGCAUGAUCUAUGGUGGUCCUGAGAGGUCAAACUCACUGUAACCUAGGAAAAAAACAC